rnacentral:rRNA from 1 species
UACGAAGGGUGCAAGCGUUAAUCGGAAUUACUGGGCGUAAAGGGUGCGUAGGCGGUUGUUUAAGUCUGUCGUGAAAUCCCCGAGCUCAACUUGGGAAUUGCAAUGGAUACUGGCAGGCUGGAGUAUGGUAGAGGAAGGUGGAAUUCCCGGUGUAGCAGUGAAAUGCGUAGAGAUCGGGAGGAACACCAGUGGCGAAGGCGGCCUUCUGGACCAAUACUGACGCUCAUGCACGAAAGCGUGGGGAGCAAACAGG